rnacentral:rRNA from 1 species
CAGCCGCCGCGGUAAUACAGAGGGUGCAAGCGUUAAUCGGAAUUACUGGGCGUAAAGCGCGCGUAGGUGGUUUGUUAAGUUGAAUGUGAAAUCCCCGGGCUCAACCUGGGAACUGCAUCCAAAACUGGCAAGCUAGAGUAGGGCAGAGGGUGGUGGAAUUUCCUGUGUAGCGGUGAAAUGCGUAGAUAUAGGAAGGAACACCAGUGGCGAAGGCGACCACCUGGGCUCAUACUGACACUGAGGUGCGAAAGCGUGGGGAGCAAACAGGAUUAGAUACCCGGGUAGUCCCUGUCUCUUAUAC